AGUGGCAGACGGCUCUAUUAACGCGUGGGUAUCUACCUAGAGGUUUGGAACAACUAUUGGAAACGAUAGCUAAUACCAAAUAUUCCCUACGGGGGAAAGAUUUAUCGCCUUUAGAUGAGCCCGCGUCGGAUUAGCUUGUUGGUAGGGUAAAGGCCUACCAAGGCUACGAUCCGUAGCUGGUCUGAGAGGAUGAUCAGCAAGAUUGGGACUGAGACACGGCCCAGACUCCUACGGGAGGCAGCAGUGGGGAAUAUUGCGCAAUGGGGGAAACCCUGACGCAGCGAUGCCGCGUGAGUGAAGAAGGCCCUAGGGUUGUAAAACUCUUUCACCGGUGAAGAUAAUGACGGUAGCCGGAGAAGAAGCCCCGGCUAACUCCGUGCCAGCAGCCGCGGUAAUACGGAGGGGGCUAACGUUGUUCGGAAUUACUGGGCGUAAAGCGCGCGUAGGCGGAUUAGACAGUUGAGGGUGAAAUCCCGGAGCUUAACUCCGGAACUGCCUUCAAUACUACUAAUCUUGAGUUCGGAAGAGGUGAGUGGAAUUCCUAGUGUAGAGGUGAAAUUCGUUGAUAUUAGGAAGAACAUCAGUGGCGAAGGCGACUCACUGGUCCGAUACU
rnacentral:rRNA from 1 species